rnacentral:rRNA from 1 species
AUUGAACGCUAGCGGGAUGCCUUACACAUGCAAGUCGAACGGAGUGGCGAACGGGUGAGUAAUGUAUCGGAACGUGCCCAGUAGCGGGGGAUAACUACGAGAAAGCGUAGCUAAUACCGCAUCCUAUCAGAGCGGCCGAUUUCGGAUUAGCUAUUGGGGGGGGUAACGGCUCACCAAGGCCACGUUCCGUAGCCGGUUUGGGAGGACGACCAGCCACACUGGGACUGAGAAACUGCCAAGCCUCCUACGGGAGGCAGCAGUGGGGAAUUUUGGACAAUGGGGGAAACCCUGAUCCAGCCAUCCAGCGUGGACGAUGAAGGCCUUCGGGUUGUAAAGCACUUUUGGCAGGAAAGCGGUAUCUGCAGAAUAAGCACCGGCUAACUACGUGCCAGCAGCCGCGGUAAUUC